GAUGCUGAAAGGAAAGAGGGGCAAGGGAAAGAAGGUGGCCUAGCCCCUGCUGUUGUGAAGAAGCAUGAGGCAAAGAAAGGGGUGAAUCCCUGUUUGAGAAAAGGUGAAGAAUUUUGGCAAUGGACAAGACAUCCAGCACAAAAGGGGCCUCACCUGCUUUGUCAAAUGGCCUCACUAUAUCACAUUGCAGCUGGCAAAGAGCUAGCCUCUAUAAGCAGCUGAAAGUGCCUCCUGCGAUUAACCUGUUCACCCAGGCCCUGAACUGCCAAACAGCUACUGACUGCUUAAGCUGGCCCAUGAGUACAGACCAGAGACAAAGUAAAAGAAACAGAGCCUGUUGGCCUGGACCGAGAAGAAAGCUGCCAGCGAAGGGGCUGUCCCCACUAAGAAACCACCUGUCCUUUGAGCAGGGGUUAAAACUGUCACCACCUUAUUGGACAACAAGAAGUCUCAGCUGGUGGUGACUGCACACGAAGUGGAUUCCAUCAAGCUGAUUGUCUUCCUGACUGUCCUGUGUUGUGAGAUGAGGGUCCCUUACUGCAUUACCAAGGGGAAGGCAAGAGUGGGAUGUCUACUAGCCCACAGGAAGACCUGCACCACUGUUGCCUUCGGAAGAAGACAAAGGAGCUUUGGCUACGCUGGUAGAAGCCAUCAGGACCAAUUACAAUGACAGAUAUGUUAAGAACCAUCCUCACUGGGGAGGCAAUGUCCUGGGUCCCAAAUCUGUGGCUAGCAUUGCCAGGUUGAAAAAGGCAAAGGCUAAAGAACUUGCUACUAAACUGGG
rnacentral:lncRNA from 1 species